rnacentral:rRNA from 1 species
AUUGAACGCUGGCGGCAGGCCUAACACAUGCAAGUCGAGCGGAUGAAGGGAGCUUGCUCCUGGAUUCAGCGGCGGACGGGUGAGUAAUCCCUAGGAAUCUGCCUGGUAGUGGGGGAUAACGUCCGGAAACGGGCGCUAAUACCGCAUACGUCCUGAGGGAGCAAGUGGGGGAUCUUCGGACCUCACGCUAUCAGAUGAGCCUAGGUCGGAUUAGCUAGUUGGUGGGGUAAAGGCCUACCAAGGCGACGAUCCGUAACUGGUCUGAGAGGAUGAUCAGUCACACUGGAGCUGAGACACGGUCCAGACUCCUACGGGAGGCAGCAGUGGGGAAUAUUGGACAAUGGGCGAAAGCCUGAUCCAGCCAUGCCGCGUGUGUGAAGAAGGUCUUCGGAUUGUAAAGCACUUUAAGUUGGGAGGAAGGGCAGUAAGUUAAUACCUUGCUGUUUUGACGUUACCAACAGAAUAAGCACCGGCUAACUUCGUG